rnacentral:rRNA from 1 species
GACGAGCUCUCCAAACGUUAUUCGGUAUCACUGGGCUUAAAGAGUUCGUAGGCGGCUUGACAGGUGAGGUGUGAAAGCCCACGGCCUAACCGUGGAAUUGCGCUUCAAACCGUCGAGCUAGAGGGAUGCAGGGGUAUGCGGAACAGAUGGUGGAGCGGUGAAAUGCGUUGAUAUCAUCUGGAACACCGGUGGCGAAAGCGGCAUACUGGGCAUUUUCUGACGCUGAGGAACGAAAGCUAGGGUAGCGAACGGG